UGCAAAGGGACAUUAGCUACCCAAGGUACAUAUAGCCAGUCAUAUGAUGUGUCUUCCAUGGCUUUGUGAUCACACAGUCACCCCGAUGGGUCUGAAGGCCUGCAUCAUCAAUGCAGGCUGCCAGACAAGGCUCUACAGAGGCCAGAAAUCAUGAAGCAGGACCCUGGAAGAGACUGGUCACUACUUGGAUGAUCAUGGUUGUCACAGAGACCCUGGCAUCGUGCCCAUGACUGUCACAGCUAGAAUGUCUGCUAUUAUUUGGGUGGAAAGUUUCAGGACACAAGUAGUCAUUGGAAAUGGAAAUGUUCUUGUUACCAGCAUUUGAAAAGAAAGACCAUGAAGAGCCAAAGGGAGUGGAUGGAACCUUCUUGUACAAAAGGCCCUCUGCAUUCUCUGCCCAGCUAUGAGAGGACAGUCCUUCGCCAGACUCUGUUGUGAGCUGUCCACACCACUCAUAUUUGGCUCCAUCACCUCUCCCAUCCACUAAAUUCUUCAUGUUCCUUUCCAACCUCACCUUAAGUGUUUCAGCGCCAUAUCUUCCUCCUGAAUCAGAGUAAAGUAAGAAUAUGUUCAUGUUUUAUAAAUAUAUUAAACAACCUAAAUUCUAGCAGAUUUUAAUUUGUUAACAAUAUCCAUCCAUUCUCUUAUAACCAACAUCCCCAUUUUCAGAAGCAACUCUCUUUUAUGUAAAUUAACCCAUUUAUUGCAGACUGGGUGAGUCUCAGACAGUA
rnacentral:lncRNA from 1 species